CCGCAUGGGCUUGUCACCAAAGAAGACACGUAUCCUUCUUCAGGGUUUGCUUUCAGCGUCCACGCAUCUAUAUCUGAUCUUGUAUCCCAAAGGUGGAUCCCACAGUUUUGGGUACUAUACAUUACCAUAGGGCCAGAUAGGCUAUCAGAGGUGUAGUUCAAAAGAGAAAGCAAAGCGCCUUCUUUAACAUCCUUCUUUUUGAUAUCAACAAUGCCUGAGUACUUCUCCACCACGUUCCCCAAGCCUCUGGAGAUAUGGUCAAUGGAAAACAUAUGCAACACACCAUCGGAGGCUCCAACUACAACUUGAGUGGAGUUUCUAAGCAUUGUUGUGCACAUCCCUCUGCUUCCCUCGAGAUGAUACGUUAGCCUUGACCUGAACGAGAUGUCCUUUUCCAGCUUUCUAGAGUCCCACACCUUCACCGUCGAAUCAUCUGAUGCGCUAACAAAAAAGCUAUGGUCGCUUGAAGUGGCGAUGUCGUUGACAGCAGAGCGGUGCUCUUGUAGAUGAGCAACUAACACUCCACGAGGCUUCCAACCUGAAUCAGGAACCGAUGUCCUCGACGGAGAUGGUUCUCCUACGAGAUCGGUUAUUGAAGACGCGUCUUCCGAAGUUACAGAAGCGCUUUUUGAAGAGGUGGAUACACCGAGGUCUUGAAAUUUGCUGAUGACUGAGGACAUUUGCUCGUUUUCUCUGCUUUCUGGCUCGUGCACCACUCUGUAAAACUGUUUAGGAUUGGUGCCAACGUGGAAUGAUCCAGAAACUAGCUUAGGCACUGGAACCGAACUAGCCAAGUUAAAUGACUUGCUCAUGGAAUCCAUCCAUGGCACUGACAACGAACUCAUGCCCAGAGAGUUCAUCUGCAAUGAAGACUCAGAAGCCACUGGAGGAUUCGUGGCUGCUCGUUUGUCCAUGUUAAACGAAUAGAGAGGUAUCCCCUCUGGUUCAGUUACGUUAUUCAUACCAGACAUGUAUGGUGCCAUAAGCCCGGAGAACUGUAACUUCUCCUGAUUCAAGUGAUCACGAAGCUCAACUGUGUUGGAAGCAUUGAGUCUUGGGUUUCUCGGGAUUCUCAGUUUAGCAUCUUUCUCUGCAUACUUUCCUUGAACUUCUUGUUGCUGUGAUGCGUUCAUAAUCGGUUUUUUCCCUUCCACACUUUUCUUCUGUUCCGCCCCAUGUUCUAACAAGUUCAAGGUCCCAGACUGAGGUGAAGUACUGUACCAUAUCUUCCGCUGUUUUUCGGCUAUUUCUGGUUUCCUGGCAGUUUCCAAGAUACGGUAAACUGCUUCCCUUGUGACUGGGGGCUUUAGGCAUGAAAAUAAAGCUUCCUCAGAAGCAAUUGAUGCAGGAAGUCUACUGAGAAAGGGACGUAUUACUGGGGCAAUAAAUGCAAAAGAGUCGACAGCACCUAAGAACUCACUACAGGCAGCGAUGAAAGUGACGACUGCCUUCCUUACCCAUUGAGAUGGAUAGUACAGCAAAGGAUAAACACACUCUAUCAUUUGGAGAAGAGCUCUCUUCCGCAAGAAGCUGCUCUUGCAUAGUAUGGAUAAGCAAUCCAAUGCAUUGACAAUGACAGCCUCUGUCUGAUCACUCAAAGCUUGAUCAAUAUAAGGCAAUAGAUAUUCCUCCACACUUCUCUGACCGACAAAGAAGCAUACAUAAACAAUUUUCUCAAAGAAUACAGAUCUUAGCUGUUCGUCUCUGUCGUUAAGAAAGGCAGGGAGGAUGGGGAGUAGAAAGUAAUUGCUCUGCCUCUGACCAAAGAAAAAGCAGAGCUCCCCUAUGUCCUGAAGGAGUGCUCUUCUAACAUUCGGAGUUUGUUUUGGACCCAUAACAAGCUCUUGAACAACUUCGGCAAUAGUUUUCCUAAGCUGUGAAAGCUGUGCAUCGCCGUUUGCCUUUUGCAACUCAGUAGCAGGUGUAGUUGACAUCUGCGGCGAAGUUGAUUCAUUAAGAACCCCUACGUUGCUCAGUUGGAAAGAAUGUAUCAAGAAUCCAUAAGCAGUAAGAGCAAGUUUGGCAAUAUUGCUGGCAUAACAUAUCCUCACACUCUCUUCUGGAUCAUCAGGGAGCAUGGAGAGCAUCGGGAAUAUAUACUCUGGGAAGAUCUUCGCAUCACUGGGAGGAAAAUCUCGGACAAGCGGCAGAAUGUCACAUAGAGUUUCCAUGGCAGCACACCGCACGAUUGCUGUUGUAUCAGAAAGCAGGGAAACAACAUAUGGAAGUACACGUUGUAAGCGAUCUUCAUCAUCAAUAUACAAAGAGCAAGACCUCAGCAGAAGUAUGGCUUCCCUCCUCAAAUGAGGCAACUUGAUAUUGCGGAUACAGGAACAGAGCAUAGAUGCGAUCAGAACCAUUCCCUCGCAUCUCAUGUUAACUUCUACCGGUAGAAAAGGGGUUCCGUAAGUGUCGGAACGGCUAUCAUAGAGAGACAUCAGUGUGCCCAAAUCGUCCAUUGUUAUCUUUUUCAAGAAAGGAUGGCGAUUUUUCUUGAGUGCAUCAGAAAUAGAGUAGAGGGUCUCGUCCUUGGAGUUUACAGUAUCCCUUAUCAAGUCCUUCGAGGUGUUCAGUUUCUGAUUCGUAAAAGUUUCUUGUACAUUUCUUGCGUUCACUGGAUGUGAAGGUAAAGGAGAAUCAAUACCCAUCUCAUCACCUGGCUUAUUUUCCAUCAUCUUCUUAAGUAUUUCUUGAAAUAUGCCAUGGCAAGUUGCUACCUGAUAAAAAUGACGCAAAAUGAUAUGAAGCAUGUUGAUGCAGAGUGUAGAGUUUUUUUUAACAGAAAAUGGUGGUGGUUACCCUCAUAUCUGAAGGAAGUGGAUUCCAACAACAGUACAAAGUGUGCAGAAAUGGUGAGAAGUAGUUCGGGAAAAUAACUCCCACAUAAUUUUGCAGGUAGUUUUCAGCUGAUAGGCGUGCUUCGGGUUCUAACUGAAUCAUAUGAAGAAUCAUCUUGCGAAUUCCAGGAUCAGGAAUCUGAAUCCAAUAAAAAGAGAAAGAAAACAACAAAGAUGAGUAGAAGUAGAGGUAGAACAAUCAGCAAAAAAAAAAUCCAACUCAGAACCACUGAAGUCUCAAGUCCCAAGUACCACGAAGAAGGAAGGUGAAAAGAAUGUUGUUUAAACAUCAAAGGAAUCAACGUGAAAGGUCGCUUGAAAGAAAGAAAAAAUGGAGAGGGAAAGAUAUUGAUACCNNNNNNNNNNNNNNNNNNNNNNNNNGGAAAGAGAUUGUUACCUACAAAGAGAAAAUGAAAAAGGAAGAUGCAGUAGGAAAAAUACCUUUUCAAGGUGUUGGCUAGGAUCAUGUUGUCCUCUGCGAUAAGCGAGAAGCUGAGCAAGUUCAAAUAGUGGCUGACCCUCAAGAAAAAGCUCUGCUAUCACGCACCUGAAGCAUUGAUAUGAAACUAUUACGAUAUGUUAUCAACUUAAAUAUACAACGUGCUAAUGUUUCAAGGUAAGAACAGUUUGUUCCAUCAUGAAAAAGUAUGUGUGCUUGACCUAUAGGAGCCUCUUUAUCUUGAUAUGCUAAUAAAAGGAAUGAACAGAUAGAGUGAUGUAAAACAAGAGGGUGAAUAAUCUCACCCCACAGAAAAUAUAUCCAUGGAUGGCUUUAAUGGAGCAUUUUGUGCAACUUUGGUCUCACCUCCAUGCUCAUAGAAUUUUUUGGGUACUAUACAUUACCAUCGGGCCAGAUAGGCUAUCAGAGGUGUAGUUCAAAAGAGAAAGCAAAGCGCCUUCUUUAACAUCCUUCUUUUUGAUAUCAACAAUGCCUGAGUACUUCUCCACCACGUUCCCCAAGCCUCUGGAGAUAUGGUCAAUGGAAAACAUAUGUAACACACCAUCGG
rnacentral:lncRNA from 1 species